rnacentral:tRNA from 1 species
AACGCUUCGGCAACGUAGCGGCAGUGAAAGCUGUAGUGGGAUGAAUCCUGGGGCCGUGGGUUCGAAUCCCGCCGCGGACACCA